CCAGAGGUUAUAUAAGCAGCGGUCGUCACAUCACGCGCACAGCUGGACUCUGAGUGGACAUCGCCUGACUGGAGAGCUUUCACGAGGUAAAGUAUUUUUGUGUACAUAAGUAUAAAAUCGACGGAUCUGUCAUUUAAAUGUACCAUAAGCCUACUGUUCACAUAAACGAAUCUUUCCGUCUUUAUUUUGUACUUUAUUUUCAGCAUCGUUAAUGCCGUUAUAUCUGUGUGACGUCAUUUGCGCAGAUCUGCUAAAAUUGAGAAAACCUUUCGUUUCACAUUCAUGUUGGUCAAGGUAACGUUAGUUUAAAAAAUAUAUAGCCUAUAUAUUCAUUUCAUAAUUAUUAUUAAUAAUAUUUUCACAUUUAAGCAGUGUUGUCUCACAGAUUUGUCUGAGUGAGAGCGCGCGACACUGACGCACACUGAACGCGCGCGCUCUCUCUCUCUCUCAUAUCGUGUGUGAUCGAGCGAGCGAGAGACAGAAGACUCACACAAGCCAAUGUAGCCUAUCCUUAUGAGAUAAUAACAAUAAAAAUAAUAAUAAUUCUGCUUUUUAAUAACAAAUAAUUACAAUAAAAGUAAAACAUGUAUGCAUGUGUAUACACCAGGGAAGAAAUAAAAGUCAUAUUCAAAUAUUUAUUCUUUUUUCUUUCUUUUUUCAGAUUGUCAUCCGAGUGUUGCAAGUGAUCAGUCAAGCAGUCAUCCUGCAUCUUGGAUUUGUUCAGUUUGUACAGACAUAUGCAUUAUCUGAUAUUGAGUGAUGCUUUUUCUUUUUCUCCCUUUUAUUUCUGUCGGUAGCUGCUGCACCCCAAAGGCUCCACAGCACUUGUCACAAGUCUUUGGCUUUAUUUGUCAAGAUCAUCUGAAAAGAGUUCACCUAUGCCAUUGAGCUGGAUGGAAAAACUGAGAAGUUUAUAAACAGAUGGCAUGGAAGAAGAGAGCAGGUCCUACAACAAAGAAAUUCUUCUUAAGGAUAAACCUGAGGCCUGGGAGAUCUUAGAGGUUCUAAUGUGUUUUUUAUGCAUUUGUUGAUGUCA